CUACGGGUCGCUGCAGUGAGGAAUAUUGCACAAUGGGGGGAACCCUGAUGCAGCAACGCCGCGUGGAGGGUGACGCAUUUCGGUGUGUAAACUCCUUUUAUAUGUCAAGAAAAUGACGGUAGCAUAUGAAUAAGCACCGGCUAACUCCGUGCCAGCAGCCGCGGUAAUACGGAGGGUGCAAGCGUUACUCGGAAUCACUGGGCGUAAAGGACGCGUAGGCGGGUUGGAAAGUCAGGUGUGAAAUCCUACAGCUUAACUGUAGAACUACACUUGAAACUUCUAAUCUAGAGUAUGGGAGGGGGAGAUGGAAUUAGUGGUGUAGGGGUAAAAUCCGUAGAUAUCACUAGGAAUACCUAAAGCGAAGGCGAUCUCCUGGAACAUUACUGACGCUAAGGCGUGAAAGCGUGGGGAGCAAACAGGAUUAGAUACCCCGGUAGUC
rnacentral:rRNA from 1 species